rnacentral:rRNA from 1 species
CAGCAGCCGCGGUAAUACGUAGGGUGCGAGCGUUAAUCGGAAUUACUGGGCGUAAAGCGUGCGCAGGCGGCUUUGCAAGACAGAGGUGAAAUCCCCGGGCUCAACCUGGGAACUGCCUUUGUGACUGCAAGGCUAGAGUACGGCAGAGGGGGAUGGAAUUCCGCGUGUAGCAGUGAAAUGCGUAGAUAUGCGGAGGAACACCGAUGGCGAAGGCAAUCCCCUGGGCCUGUACUGACGCUCAUGCACGAAAGCGUGGGGAGCAAACAGGAUUAGAUACCCUGGUAGUCCACGCCCUAAACGAUGUCAACUGGUUGUUGGACGGCUUGCUGUUCUAGUAACGAAGGUAACGCGUGAAUGUUGACCGCCUGGGGAGUACGGCCGCAAGGUUGAAACUCAAAUGAAUUGACGG